GCGCCGGUGGCGUAAUGGUGUAGAGCAUUCCUGACCGGUCAGCAGGUGGUGCGGGUUCGAGUCCCGCCUGACGCU
rnacentral:tRNA from 1 species